rnacentral:rRNA from 1 species
UCCGUUGGUGAACCAGCGGAGGGAUCAUUACAGAGUUGCAAAACUCCCUAAACCAUUGUGAACGUUACCUAUACCGUUGCUUCGGCGGGCGGCCCCGGGGUUUACCCCCCGGGCGCCCCUGGGCCCCACCGCGGGCGCCCGCCGGAGGUCACCAAACUCUUGAUAAUUUAUGGCCUCUCUGAGUCUUCUGUACUGAAUAAGUCAAAACUUUCAACAACGGAUCUCUUGGUUCUGGCAUCGAUGAAGAACGCAGCGAAAUGCGAUAAGUAAUGUGAAUUGCAGAAUUCAGUGAAUCAUCGAAUCUUUGAACGCACAUUGCGCCCGCCAGCAUUCUGGCGGGCAUGCCUGUUCGAGCGUCAUUUCAACCAUCAAGCCCCCGGGCUUGUGUUGGGGACCUGCGGCUGCCGCAGGCCCUGAAAAGCAGUGGCGGGCUCGCUGUCGCACCGAGCGUAGUAGCAUACAUCUCGCUCUGGUCGCGCCGCGGGUUCCGGCCGUUAAACCACCUUUUAACCCAAGGUUGACCUCGGAUCAGGUAGGAAGACCCGCUGAACUUAAG